CUAUAUGCUCUCCCCUCUUCUGCUUUUGUAGUGGUUAAUUCUUGUCUCUUCGUUUUUUCUUUAGGUAAGCAGUCUUCCCAAAUCCUAUUUUACCAUUUAAUAAAUCCUUUGUGAUUGAGGUAUGGUUUGAGCUGUGGAAGAUUUUCGAAAUUUGGGUAGAAAGAACGAAGAGUGUUCACGAGUUAAGGGUGUAGCACGCGAAGAAGAAAGUGCCUGGAAGACCAUCUUUCAGAGAUCAAGUUCCUUGCCGAAACCAAUCCAAGGCUCUCUCAACCCAAGACAAAGAGGUAAAGAGGCGGCAAAAUCCGCUCACAGACCGACUACCUUAACUCACUCCCUGACAGGGCACACUGAAUUGAACUAGAGCUUCUUUUCUUGUCCUUUGAGAAGGGAUCUCUCUCUGUAAAGAAAGAAAUCCUUGACUCAGAAGCACGAAUCUAAAGAUUCCCUCUCAAAACAGCUAUCUGACAUGCAUAGAAAGUAGUUGGAUGCCUAGCUAAGUUGAGUGCUUUCGCACCUUGCGUGCUCAGACUCGCUGGCAGAAGACAGUCCAACUUCCUGCCGGCUAUGCUAUCAGUCAAACAGACUCGAAACUGGAUCGCUGGUAACCCUAUCUUUUAUAUAAUCAAAAAAGAUUCGUGCUUUGAAAUGGUGUCACUGGCCUGGCUUUUGACAAAGAUCUGAACUGAUCGAUGAAUUUACCCUAGCUUCUUGUAAGGGGAUGUGAGGGCCCUCCCACUAUUUGGAUUGGAAAGGGAUUGGAAAGAGCUGGGAAGCUCUAGACUAUGGGGGAAGGCAAAAGCUACUUACUUUCGCCUUGCAAUUCGGCUCUGAGCCCGAUGCCUUUAGCAGCUCUUAUGUCUUGCCUAGUCCUUCCGAGAUCGCAGUGGAGAGCUUCAGGCAGCACCACAGCCCUAGGAGCACUAGAAUAGGUAGCACGGGUCACAGCAAGACUUCAAUCUCUCGAUCCAGCAAUGAGGAAAGAAAGGUCUCUGUCCCGAAAGAAAAGAAGUGGCAUUUCCCUUCCGCUUACUACCUAUCACAGAGAUUGGGCACUUUUGCCCUAAAGCAGGGAGAAGGAAAGUAGGUGCGCGAAAGAUCUUCGGUGGUGAAGGGAAUGGUUCGUUGAAGAGCUCCAUUUUCUCAUUUUAGACGUGUGGUGUUGAAGCGCAAGGUUACUUGGUGGAGGAGGUGAAAUCCUGUCUCAACACUGUCCAGAGGUUUGUUUUUGUCAUUUUUCGCAUCUUCUGUAUACAUUGGAAAAACAUUUUUAAAGUUUCAUUGAAAGAACAUCUUUAAAAAUUUAAAUGGUUCUUUAUUACAUUGCAUUAAGUUAUGGAACAUACAAGUUGCUUCACAUGGUCAUGCCUUUAUUGAUCUGUGGUUCUAAAACCCAACAUCUUAAUUUUCUCAUCCGUAGCCCCUACUGCAACUGCCACUACCAAUAUUAAAAUAUAGUACUCUUUCUAGCUUCUGCCCUUUGAACCUGGCCGAUCUCGGACACACUCACCAUCUUUGUUUCCUUUGACAAAACUAAUGAAUUGGUGUUUGGACAGAACAAACCAAGUCACAACACUUUAGUGGUAUAGGGGCUUUUUUUUCUUGGUUACUGAAGUGUGUUUGAAGAUGUGGGAGGAGUCAGCGUUUUAUAUGUAUGCAAGGGUGGAUUGGAAAUGGGUAGGUGAGUAGCACGUGCAUCACCAAUUGCCAUGUGAGUUUGGUCACAUAUUUUAGAAGACCAUCUCUACCUCCCUUAACUAAUUCAUUUAUUUUUUGAUUGACUAUCCAAUAAUUAGUGAUAUUUUAUCACGUGUGUGGAACUUGGUUGUGGAGUGGAAUGUAUGAAUUAUUCUACUGUAUUUGACUUUUUUUCUGAAAAGUGAUUACUUAACUUUUUUUUCUUAAGCUAAGUAUUUGGCUCUCAAUGCUUGACUAGUUCAAUGUAAAUUGCCUUUCAUGGAAUUUAUAAAAAAACUGGUAAAACAAACUGUAGCUUCAUCGAAUCAUCUUAACCUUUACUCUCUUUUCCUCUCAUUUUUUGACAUUUUCAGUUGUAUUGUUUGUUGAACAUAGCCUUAGAAAUUCAUUCAAACAAUAGUUGGUUGUUUCUUUAUUCUUCUAAUCUUGCUCUAGUUUCGUUUAGAAUCCAUAAAUCCCAAAUUCCACCUUCUACGAGCUCAAGGAAGUUUUAUAUCUAGAAACUCCCUUGCUUGUACAUGCUUGUUUCCAAACAUAUUUUGCAAUUUCAAACCUAUGCUAUGCUGUAUAGAUAAAUGAAACCUGUGCAUUUUAGGAUUAUGUGUGAUUAUACUUCAGAUAUCAUAUUUAAAAACUAGAUGCAUAAUUACAUUUUAGUAUUUUUUUUCUCAGUGGUUCAAUAUAGGUUGCUUUUAAAAGUUGCAUUUUAUACCAUUGUAAUAGAGAAUUUAAAAAAACAUAUUUUGACCUGGGAAUUUACACUUCUUUAGGUAUCCAACUAAUUACAUGCAAUAUGAAAGAAACCACUCUUAGUAAUGACUUGAUUCAUGAAAUUCUUUCCUGGCUUCCCAUAAAAGGUUUCAGUGUUUGAUAUCAGAUUCGACUUUUGUCAAACUCCAUCUCCAUAGAGCAAGCCAACACUCCAAUUUUCUAAUAAUCUUCAAAACGGAAAGAUGAUAGUCGCGUGGUAAGUCCUUGUUCUUUGUUUUGUUUGUUGCAAAACAACCACGACUUUCACGAGGUUCUAUAAAGGUUUUUGGAUUGAUAUCAGGGUCUAAAUUCUUGUCAUGGAUUGGUCUAUGUGGUGUUUGACUAUAGAUCGGGUUUUGUGUCUUCACUUAAGCAUAGUUGUUGUUUUACUACAUGGAACUCUACCACAAGAAAAAUAUUUCGAGUUUCAAGAUUUACCUUUCGAGAUAUUGAAGAAGAUAUUUCCUUUGGUUUGGAUACAAUGACAGUAGUAAUAGAUAUAGUGAUCAUAAUUUCCUAUAUUGACUCUAAAUCUAAUAAUGUGGUGAAAUCUUGCAAUGAAGUCAAGAUUUACUCCAUAGGUAACAAUGGUUGGAAAAGCAUUGAAAAAUUUUCUGCUAAUAUUCCUUCCCUGCCUGAUUAUGGAAUAUAUUUUAACACCAAUAUUAUUUGGUUAACAACAACAAAUGAAUUUGAUAGAUCUCAAUAUAUAUUUGAUGUUUUUGUCGUGGUUUUCCUUGACCUCUAAAGUAAAAAAUUCUCCAACUUGUUGCUGCCUCAAAAUCUUGAAGGUGGGGAUGCAUAUAUAAGGUUUCUAGAAAUUAUGGUUUUAGAUGAUUAUCUUAGUCUAUUUAUAAAGAUUUUGCUACAGACACCUUUGUAGUAUGACAAAUGAAAGAUUUUGGAAACAUGGAUUCUUGGACCCUCUUGGUGAAUAUAGAUGUUGAAGUUCAAGCCGUGCCUUCUUGGUGAACAUAGAUAUUGAAGUUUAAGUCGUGCCUUCCUUGAAACCUUUAUGCAUAUACGAUAGGUUCCUUGUGUUCUAUCAACUUACUCUUGAUUAUCAAAUGCAUGUAGUUUUGUAUGAUUUGAGAGGGAGAGAAGUAACACAGAGGAUAACUUCUAAAAAAGUAAUCUUCAACCCAUAUAAAAAAUACUUCUCUAGAAGUUAUCCUCUGUGCUACUUCUCUCCCUUUCAAAUCAUACAAAAUUACAUGCAUUUGAUAAUCAAGAGUAAGUUGAUAGAAUAAGAAACCUACCGUGUAUGCAUAAAGGUUUCAAAAAAGGCACGCUUGAGUCUGAAGAACUCCAACAUCUAUGUUUACCAAGAGGAUCCAAGAAUCCCGGUUUUCAAAAUCUUUCAUUUGCCAUACUACAAAGGUGUCUGUUGCAAAAUCUUUAUAAACCAGACUAAGAUAAUAAUCUAAAAUCAUAAUUUAUGGAAAUCUUAUAUCUGCAUCCCUACCUUCAAGAUUUCAAGGCAGCAACAUGUUGGUGAAUUUUUCAAUUUGGAUGUCGAGGAAAUCCACGACAAAAGCAUCAAAUGUAUAUUGAGAUCCAUCAAAUUCAUUUGUUAUUGUUAACCAAAUAAUAUUGCUGUUAAACUAUAUUUCAUAAUCAGGCAUGGAAGAAAUAUUAGCAGGAAUUUUUUCAAUGCUUCUUCAACCAUUGUUGCUACCUAUGGAGUAAAUCUUGACUUCAUUGCAAGAUUUCACCACAUUAUCCGAUUUAGAGUCAAAAUUGGAAAUGAUGAUCACUAUUUUGUAUGUAUUACUAUUGUCGUCGUAUCCAAACUCAAAUAAAAGAUCUUCUUAAAUAUCUCUGGAAGCAAAAUCUUAGAAUUCGAAAUAUUUUUCUUGUGGCGGGAAGUGAAACCACAAAUAUGUUUAAGUGAAGAUACAAAACCCCAACUAUGGUCAAACGCCACACAAACCAAUCCAUGGCAAGAAUUUAGACUCAGAUAUCGAUUCAAAAACCAUUCUAGAAAAUUGGAGUGUUGGCUUGCUCUCUGGAGUUUGACAAAACGGAAACCCUUUGCUCAUGCAAGUGAAUCGCCCGAGAGAUUUUACGAGAAGCCAGAAAGAAUUUCACAAAUCAAGUCGUUACUAAGAGUGGUUUCUUCCAUAUUGCAUGUAAUUAGUUGGAUACCUAAUGCAAUGUAAUAAAGAACAAUUUAAAAAUGUUCUUACAAUGUAUACAGAAUAUGAUAAAGAUGGCAAAAACUAACCUCUGGACAGGAUUUCACCUCCAUUAAGUAACCUUGCGCUUCAACACCACACCAUGGAGGUCUUCAACGAACCAUUCCCUUCACCACUGAAGACCUUCAACGCACAUUACAGGGUCUCUUAAACAGUUAAGAUUUUCAACCUAUGAGUCAAGUAAUCAAAGCUAACACAGGGUUUUGCAAAGAUGACUUACCUUGUUCUUCAUGUCAUACACCCUUAGCUCGCCAACACAGUGUUUGUUCUUUGUCAUUUCUAACCAAAUUUCGAAGAUUAUCGACAGCUCAAACCAUACCUCAAUCACAAAGGAUUUAUUAAAUGGUUCAUAGGUUUAUAAUAGGGCAGAGAAGGAGAAAGGAAAAAAGAGAGAGGAAGGCAAAAGAAAAA